UUGAAGGCAACAAUUGCUUGAAACACAAUGGAGCUGCAUGAUCAUGGGUAUUCUUCACCCUCAGUUUCAACCGUGAAGGAAAAUAGUCUGAUUAAAAUUGAACCGCCUGAUUUUCUCACCUCUGUCGGAUUUGUGCCAACCGGAAUGAAUACCUCAUCCCAAUCUUUGAAGGAGAGGGAAUUCAAUUAGAUCUCAAACUGAGAGUAGAAAAAUAUCUUCCAUUGACAAUUGACCCAUCUGAUGAACUGCCAUCCAGUAUGUGCUAUCAGUGUGCAUCGUCCAUCACAUCGUGGCAUGAUUUAUUUGAGAGCUGCAUCGCAGCUGAAAAACAGUUAAAGGAUAUGAAGGAAGGCCGAAGUAUUGAGAAAGUCACACCGGAAAGUUGUGAAAGGAAAGAAGAGAACGACUGUGAUUCCACUAGCCCUAACAAAAAAAGUUCAAUUCUCCAGACGUUACUGGAAGAACAAUCAAAUUCUCCAGAAUUUUCACCAGCGGUAAGUUUUUAUUCUCAGUUUUGAGUGUCUAUUGGGAAUAGGUCCUCAGUCCACAGCAUUUCAAAAUUGAGUUAUUAUUACCUGAAGGUAGGAAAGUAUCUUGUAAAUAUUACGGAAUGAAUAAGGCUCCUAAAUGUCAAGCCAGACCAGCGUUAGAUCUAAUGGAUGUAACUUUUUGGGGCAGAUAUGUAGUCUCUAGAAAAAGCUGUUCAAAAUUCUGUUUGGCCCGAUUUAAAGCUCAAAAUAGCCAGAUAUUGCAAUCUAAUGUCACACUCUCUGUUGGUAAAAAAAAGCAGUGAACCCUUUACAACUCAUUUUGCAGAAUACUAAAGAGUUUCCAGAAAAAUCUUAUAAUCUGAUUCAUCAAUAAAAUUCAGAUUAAGAA
rnacentral:lncRNA from 1 species